GACGGAGGAUGCAAGCGUUAUCCGGAAUGAUUGGGCGUAAAGCGUCCGCAGGUGGCAGUUCAAGUCUGCUGUCAAAGACCGGGGCUUAACUUCGGAAAGGCAGUGGAAACUGAACAGCUAGAGUAUGGUAGGGGCAGAGGGAAUUCCUGGUGUAGCGGUGAAAUGCGUAGAGAUCAGGAAGAACAUCGGUGGCGAAGGCGGCCUGCUGGGCUGUUGCUGACGCUGAGGCGCGAAAGCGUGGGGAGCAAACAGG
rnacentral:rRNA from 1 species